AUUGAACGCUGGCGGCAUGCCUUACACAUGCAAGUCGAACGGCAGCACGGACUUCGGUCUGGUGGCGAGUGGCGAACGGGUGAGUAAUGUAUCGGAACGUACCUUUCAGUGGGGGAUAACGUAGCGAAAGUUACGCUAAUACCGCAUAUUCUGUGAGCAGAAAAGCAGGGGAUCGCAAGACCUUGCGCUGAUUGAGCGGCCGAUAUCAGAUUAGCUAGUUGGUGGGGUAAAGGCCUACCAAGGCUACGAUCUGUAGCGGGUCUGAGAGGAUGAUCCGCCACACUGGAACUGAGACACGGUCCAGACUCCUACGGGAGGCAGCAGUGGGGAAUUUUGGACAAUGGGGGCAACCCUGAUUCAGCCAUGCCGCGUGAGUGAAGAAGGCCUUCGGGUUGUAAAGCUCUUUCGGCCGGGAAGAAAUCGCAUAGGCUAAUACCCUGUGUGGAUGACGGUACCGGAAUAAGAAGCACCGGCUAACUACGUGCCAGCCGCCGCCGUAA
rnacentral:rRNA from 1 species